rnacentral:rRNA from 1 species
UUGCGGUUAAAAAGCUCGUAGUUGGAUUUCUGUUGAGGAUGACCGGUCCGCUCUUUGAGCGCGUAUCUGGUUCAGCCUUGGCAUCCUCUUGGGGAACGCUACUGUGCUUGAUUGCAUGGGGCGGUAUUCAAGACUUUUACUUUGAGGAAAUUAGAGUGUUCACUGCAAGCGUUAGCAAUUGAAUACAUUAGCAUGGAAUAAUAAUAUAGGACCUUGGUACUAUUUUGUUGGUUUCUAGAACUAAGGUAAUGAUUAAUAGGGACAAUUGGGGGCAUUCGUAUUAACGCGUCAGAGGUGGAAUUCUUAGAUUGCGUUACGACGAACUACUGCGAAAGCAUUUGCCAAGGAUGUUUUCAUUGAUCAAGAACGAAAGUAUGGGGAUCGAAGACGCUUAGAUACCGUCGUAGUCUAUACCAUAAACUAUGCCAACUAGAGAUUGGAGGUCGUCUCUCUUUAUGACUCCUUCAGCACCUUAUGAGAAAUCAAAGUCUUUGGGUUCCCGGGGGGAGUAUGGUCGCAAGGCUGAAACUUAAAGGAAUUGACGGAAGGGCACCACCAGGAGUGGAGCCUGCGGCUUAAUUUGACUCAACUCGGGAAACUUACCAGGUCCAGAC